ACUUCCUUUGGCAGAGCAUAUAUCAAAACUGGAAUGAUUCAGAGAAGAUUGGCAUGGACCUUGUGAAAGGAUGACAUGCAAAUUUGUGAAGUGUUCCAUAUUUUA